ACUACAUCAUAGGAAUCAGCAUCUGGAGUCAAAUUAGUGUUAUGCAGGAUUUUGUCCAUAGGACCUUGGAGUUUUCUGCCAAGUUGGAGUUCUGCUGGCGUUAGUCCAAUGGUUUCUUGCACAGCUGAAUUUAAAGCAAAACGGAAUUUAGCUCUUUGAAAACAGAAUAAACAAAUUGGACACCCCUGUCUGAGAUGAUGAAAUCUGGUACACCCCAUCGCGUCAGAAUUUCCUUUCUGAAGAUAGUGGCAAUAUUCCGGGCAGUAGCACUUCGCAUUGGGAACAAUUCCACCCAACGAGAGUAAUAAUCGACAAAAACAAGUUGUGCAUGCUCUCACAUGACGUUUCACGUCAGACCACAUGCCUGGCCAGAAAGCCACAUUCUGGAGCCUCUUAUAAGUUUUGAAGAUCCCUCCAUGACCACUUAGAGGGCUGGAAUGGUAGUGUUGCAGGAAUGAGGAUCUGAGACUGCUGGGAAUGUAAACUCUGUAGUGCAGCUGGUUGUUCGACAGGUAUGUCUUUUGAUACAGUUUUCCCUCUAUUAUUUCAUAUUGAUCCUUUAGAUCUGCACAAUUUUCAGAUAUUGCUUGCAUGAGUUUUAUAACAUCAGGGUCUUCCUGUUGCUCCUUCCACAAGUCAACAUCAGACCACGG